rnacentral:rRNA from 1 species
UAUCUGGUUGAUCCUGCCAGUAGUCAUAUGCUUGUCUCAAAGAUUAAGCCAUGCAUGUCUAAGUAUAAAUGGUAUACAAUGAAACUGCGAAUGGCUCAUUAAAACAGUUAUAGUUUAUUUGGUAAUCAAACUUACAUGGAUAACCGUGGUAAUUCUAGAGCUAAUACAUGCUGUUGUGCCUGACUCACGAAGGGCCGUAUUUAUUAGAUAUCAGCCAAUGGGCGUUAGCCAUUGUGGUGACUCAUAGUAACUUAAUCGGAUCGCAUGGGCUUGUCCCGCGACAAACCAUUCAAGUUUCUGCCCCAUCAUGCUUUCGAUGGUAGUGUAUUGGACUACCAUGGCUUUCACGGGUAACGGAGGAUUAGGGUUCGAUUCCGGAGAGGGAGCCUGAGAAACGGCUACCACUUCUACGGAAGGCAGCAGGCGCGUAAAUUACCCAAUCCUGAUUCAGGGAGGUAGUGACAAGAAAUAAUGGGUCGGGGUUAUGCCCCGGGACUGCAAUGAGACGAAUUUAGACCCCUUAUCGAGGAUCCAUUGGAGGGCAAGUCUGGUGCCACACCGCGGUAAUUCCAGCUCCAAU